rnacentral:rRNA from 1 species
GACGAACGCUGGCGGCGUGCCUAAUACAUGCCAGUAGAACGCACAGUUUAUACCGUAGCUUGCUACACCAUAGACUGUGAGUUGCGAACGGGUGAGUAACGCGUAGGUAACCUGCCUGGUAGCGGGGGAUAACUAUUGGAAACGAUAGCUAAUACCGCAUAAUAUUGAUUAUUGCAUGAUAAUUAAUUGAAAGGUGCAAUUGCACCACUACCAGAUGGACCUGCGUUGUAUUAGCUAGUAGGUGAGGUAACGGCUCACCUAGGCGACGAUACAUAGCCGACCUGGGAGGGUGAACGGCCACACUGGGACUGAGACACGGCCCAGACUCCUACGGGAGGCAGCAGUAGGGAAUCUUCGGCAAUGGACGAAAGUCUGACCGAGCAACGCCGCGUGAGGGAAGAAGGUUUUCGGAUCGUAAAGCUCUGUUGUAAGAGAAGAACGGGUGUGAGAGUGGAAAGUUCACACUGUGACGGUAUCUUACCAGAAAGGGACGGCUAACUACGUG